UACGGGGGGAGCAAGCGUUGUUCGGAUUUACUGGGCGUAAAGGGCGCGUAGGCGGCCACCGCAAGUCGAUUGUGAAAUCUCCGGGCUUAACCCGGAAAGGUCAACCGAUACUGCGGGGCUAGAGUGCAGAAGGGGCAACUGGAAUUCUCGGUGUAGCGGUGAAAUGCGUAGAUAUCGAGAGGAACACCUGCGGCGAAGGCAGCCCCCUGGGUUAACACUGACGCUCAGGCACGAAAGCGUGGGGAGCAAACAGG
rnacentral:rRNA from 1 species